GUACACACCGCCCGUCCGUCGCUCCUACCGAUUGAGUGAUCCGGUGAACUUUCUGGACUUCUGGUUAACGCCGAGGAGGAAGUUAAGUAAACCUUAUCACUUAGAGGAAGGAGAAGUCGUAACAAGGUUUCCGUAGGUGAACCUGCAGAAGGAUCA
rnacentral:rRNA from 1 species